rnacentral:misc_RNA from 1 species
UGACGGCUGUGAAGAUCCUCAUCAAUGUCCUGCGAGUUCCCAUUCCCAAGAGUCAUGAUGGAUGAUUCAACGUUGCCGCUACUGUGGUUGUUAUUGUUGUUAGCGACAAUAGUGGUGUUGUCGGUACUCUUAGCGUUCCCCGUGCUUGUGGGUGAUUCAGUGGUGGCCGCGGCCGAGGCGACGUGAUCCACGCGGGCUUUCUUAGUCACAGAUUCCGUGGCGCUGCGGAUUGGUCCCUCUUGUUCUAGUACAACCUCUCCUCCACCAGCUCUCUUGCUAGGAAGCAUAUAGUGAGGUGAACGAGUAGAACAAGUAAAGAAAGGAAGCGAUCGCGAAAGACUAGAUAGAUUAGCGAAGCAGGGAAGAGAAUUCUUGUGGUUUUGGGUAAAGUGUUUUCUGGGCUAUGUUAGGGUUUGGAUGCUCGAUGAGUAUUAUGCGAUGGUCGGUCGGUGGGUUCAUCUCCCUUGUCAGAGGGAAAAAGAGAGAAAAAGAUAAAACAGGGCG